CUACGGAGGGUGCAAGCGUUGUUCGGAAUUACUGGGCGUAAAGCGCGUGCAGGCGGUAAGGUAAGUCAGAUGUGAAAGCCCCGGGCUCAACCCGGGAAGUGCAUUUGAUACUGCCUUUCUUGAGUAUGGGAGAGGAGAGUGGAAUUCCCAGUGUAGAGGUGAAAUUCGUAGAUAUUGGGAGGAACACCCGUGGCGAAGGCGACUCUCUGGACCAAUACUGACGCUGAGACGCGAAAGCGUGGGGAGCGAACAGGAUUAGAAACCCUAGUAGUCC
rnacentral:rRNA from 1 species